CAGCACCCUCACAAACACACACAGCACCCUCACACAAACAGCACACUCUCACACAGCACACUAACAGCACCCUCACAAAUACACGACACAAACAGCACCCUCACACACACAUAUCACACAAACAGCACCCUCACACACAGCACACUACCAGCACCCUCACCCACAUAGCACACUAACAGCACCCUCACACACCCACACAGCACCCUUCAACACCCACACAGCACCCUUACAC